rnacentral:rRNA from 1 species
UAGGGAAUAUUGCAAAAUGGGCGAAAGCCCGAUGCAGCAACGCCGCGUGGGCGAUGAAGGCCUUCGGGUCGUAAAGCCCUUUUUGAGGGGAUGAGGAAGGACAGUACCCCCAGAAUAAGCCUCGGCUAACUACGUGCCAGCAGCCGCGGUAAAACGUAGGAGGCGAGCGUUAUCCGGAUUUACUGGGCGUAAAGCGCGUGCAGGCGGAUUGGAGAGUUGGAUGUGAAAGCUCCCGGCUUAACUGGGAGAGGUCGUUCAAUACUUCCAGUCUUGAGUGCAGUAGAGGGAAGUGGAAUUCCGGGUGUAGUGGUGAGAUGCGUAGAUAUCCGGAGGAACACCAGUGGCGAAAGCGGCUUCCUGGACUGUAACUGACGCUCAGACGCGAAAGCUAGGGUAGCAAACG